CGCGAAACCUUCGCACUGCGCGAAAGCGCGACGAGGGGAACCCGAGUGCCUCUCCAUUUUGGGGAGGCUUUUCACAAGCCUAAAAAGCUUGUGGAAUAAGGGCUGGGCAAGACGGGUGCCAGCCGCCGCGGUAAUACCCGCAGCUCGAGUGGUAGCCGCUUUUAUUGAGCCUAAAACGUUCGUAGUCGGCUUUGUAAAUCCCUGGGUAAAUCGGGCCGCUUAACGGUUCGAAUUCCGGGGAGACUGCAAAGCUUGGGACCGGGAGAGGCCGGAGGUACUUUUGGGGUAGGAGUGAAAUCCUGUAAUCCCAAAGGGACCACCUGUGGCGAAAGCGUCCGGCUUGAACGGCUCCGACGAUGAGGAACGAAGGCUAGGGGAGCAAACCGGAUUAGAUACCCGGGUAGUCCUAGCUGUAAACUCUGCCCGCUUGGUGUGGCCUGUUCUGGGGGAGCAGGCUGUGCCGGAGCGAAGGUGUUAAGCGGGCUGCUUGGGGAGUACGGCCGCAAGGUUGAAACUUAAAGGAAUUGGCGGGGGAGCACCGCAACGGGAGGAUGCGUGCGGUUUAAUUGGAUUCAACGCCGGAAAACUCACCUGAGGAGACCAGCGUAUGUGGGUCAAGCCGAAGACUUUACCCGAACAACAGCUGGAGAGGUGGUGCAUGGCCAUCGUCAGCUCGUACCGUAGGGCAUUCACUUAAGUGUGAUAACGAGCGAGACCCCCAUCCCUAGUUGCCAAAUCAUUCCUUCGGGAAUGGGAGCACUCUAGGGAGACCGCUUCCGCUAAGGAAGAGGAAGGAGGGGUCGACGGUAGGUCAGUAUGCCCCGAAUCCUCAGGGCUACACGCGCGCUACAAAGGACGGGACAAUGGGUUCCGACCUCGAAAGAGGAAGGUAACCCCGAAACCCGUUCGUAGUCCGGAUUGAGGGCUGUAACUCGCCCUCAUGAAGGUGGAUUCCGUAGUAAUCGCGGAUCAACAGUCCGCGGUGAAUAU
rnacentral:rRNA from 1 species